GUGGAGGCUCUUAAUGUGUUCUACUAUGUUACUUAUGAAGGUGCUGUGGACCUUGAUGCUAUCCAGGACCCCAAAGAGAGGCUCUCUGUGGAAGGCAUGAUUAGAAACUUUGGCCAGACUCCUUCUCAGUUAUUGAAAGAACCUCACCCAAAGAGACUAACAUUUGAUGAA
rnacentral:sRNA from 1 species